CAAGUUUUUUGAAACUAUUGAGAACAAAGAUGCAACAUACCACUCGAGUGUGCAGUGGGGAAACCAACCUUGGAGAGCCGAGCAUGUG